AUCACAUAAAAGAAAUCUUUGAUUUUGGUGGAAUCCUAAAUGGAAUGGAAUUCUAUGAAAUCACAUAAAAACAAUGUGUACAAUACGUUUUAUCAUACAACUUCUUUGUUAGAAUCAUUUUCCUUGGCAGGUCAUGAUUUAAAAAAAGAAGUAUACAAAUUUGUUUUCAAUUUUUAAACCCACAAAGAUGUUUAAUUCAGUCAUUUUUAGGUUGCAAUUUGUAACAUAAAUAUCAAUCUUUCAUUUUUCUUGAACAAAGUCAAAAUGCAUGUAAAGGAAAAGCAUGGAUAGAACUGAAAAAAUAAUUUAAAUGUUAUAUUUGAUUAAAAUAUGGCUUCCAGAAGAAAUAUCAAUCAGCCUUAUCUCUAGGAAACCCCAGCUCUAAAAAUUAAGGGCAUACUAUACAGUUUUGAUUCUGUAUUUACAGUUUGAUGAAAAUUUCCAUAUAGGCUAUUUUUUGCCUGAUUAAAUCAAAUAUGUAAUAAAAAUAUACCUCCAUGUGCUACUUUUUGAGUUAAAUGAGGUCGAAAUUUUGUAUAUUUGCUCAAAAUUCGGAUUUGUGGCCGUAUUUUUCCUUUCGAAAGAAUGACAUAACUUUUUUGUUUUAAAAGAUAAAC
rnacentral:lncRNA from 1 species